UUGUUUUGGCAGAUUAGUGCUUUAGAUUUAGGAUUUAAUAAUGUAUGUUGAGAUACAGGCAAUAG
rnacentral:tRNA from 1 species